rnacentral:rRNA from 1 species
GACGUAGGGCGCGAGCGUUGUCCGGAUUUAUUGGGCGUAAAGAGCUCGUAGGCGGCUUGUCGCGUCGUCCGUGAAAACCCACAGCUCAACUGUGGGCUUGCGGUCGAUACGGGCAGACUAGAGUGCGGUAGGGGAGACUGGAAUUCCUGGUGUAGCGGUGAAAUGCGCAGAUAUCAGGAGGAACACCGGUGGCGAAGGCGGGUCUCUGGGCCGUAACUGACGCUGAGGAGCGAAAGCGUGGGGAGCGAACAGG